ACACUGCUGAGGAGUCCCACAAUAGGACGAAACAGCUGCCCAGUAC
rnacentral:hammerhead_ribozyme from 1 species